rfam:Aedes aegypti strain Liverpool supercont1.604 genomic scaffold, whole genome shotgun sequence.
CAAUCGGCUCUUUCCAGAGCCAACAAAUGUGUUUUAAAGAGUUAAU